GAAAGUAGGGGCCCUCUCUCGGGCAGGGCUAGCUUGUAACACAGUUUGAAAUGUUUUUCAGGGAUGGUUACAGCCCUCCCUGUUUGUAUCCACCUUUUUCAGAUAUCAUCAGCCCAGGCCCAAGGCUCUUGCAAACCUGCGGAUUAACUACUCACUUAUCAAAAGGAAGCCUCAGGGAACCAGCAUGGGCCUGAGCUGUGCCCUCUGCACAAAGAUCUUUGUCCCAGCUGGGUCUCCUUUCCCCGCUUCAGCGACAGAAAUGACUACAGAAGCUGGCCCAGGGUUUUCCUGGCUUUACUCCUGGGGAUGUGAGGCCUGAAAACGACACCCAUUUUUGAAUGUGCAAAGGAACGAACAAACCAUAAACCAACCAACAAAUGAAAAAGGUACUUCUAUGUGUUUGCGAGGAAUCACACACGACCAAGAAGUCCAUCUUUGGGGGUUGAUGCAUGCUCCAGCCAAGGUAAAGCAACAGCUGCUAUUGAGGAUCCGUGGAUAAUUGUUAAUGGAUGGGGGCUUCCUGUGGCAGAGCUAGAGGCUGGGCUCGG
rnacentral:lncRNA from 1 species